rnacentral:rRNA from 1 species
GAUGAACGCUGGCGGCGUGCCUAAUACAUGCAAGUCGAGCGAACAGACGAGGAGCUUGCUCCUUUGACGUUAGCGGCGGACGGGUGAGUAACACGUGGGUAACCUACCUUUAAGACUGGGAUAACUUCGGGAAACCGGAGCUAAUACCGGAUAAUAUUUCGACCCGCAUGGUUCGAUAGUGAAAGAUGGCUCUGCUAUCCCUUUUAGAUGAACCUGCGCCGUAUUAGCUAGUUGGUAAGGUAACGGCUUACCAAGGCAACGAUACGUAGCCGACCUGAGAGGGUGAUCGGCCACACUGGAACUGAGACACGGUCCAGACUCCUACGGGAGGCAGCAGUAGGGAAUCUUCCGCAAUGGGCGAAAGCCUGACGGAGCAACGCCGCGUGAGUGAUGAAGGUCUUCGGAUCGUAAAACUCUGUUAUUAGGGAAGAACAAACGUGUAAGUAACUGUGCACGUCUUGACGGUACCUAAUCAGAAAGCCACGGCUAACUACGUG